GACGAACGCUGGCGGCGUGCCUAAUACAUGCAAGUUGAGCGCUGAAGGUUGGUACUUGUACCAACUGGAUGAGCAGCGAACGGGUGAGUAACGCGUGGGGAAUCUGCCUUUGAGCGGGGGACAACAUUUGGAAACGAAUGCUAAUACCGCAUAAAAACUUUAAACACAAGUUUUAAGUUUGAAAGAUGCAAUUGCAUCACUCAAAGAUGAUCCCGCGUUGUAUUAGCUAGUUGGUGAGGUAAAGGCUCACCAAGGCGAUGAUACAUAGCCGACCUGAGAGGGUGAUCGGCCACAUUGGGACUGAGACACGGCCCAAACUCCUACGGGAGGCAGCAGUAGGGAAUCUUCGGCAAUGGACGAAAGUCUGACCGAGCAACGCCGCGUGAGUGAAGAAGGUUUUCGGAUCGUAAAACUCUGUUGGUAGAGAAGAACGUUGGUGAGAGUGGAAAGCUCAUCAAGUGACGGUAACUACCCAGAAAGGGACGGCGAACUACGU
rnacentral:rRNA from 1 species